rnacentral:rRNA from 1 species
GAUAAACGCUGGCGGCGCACAUAAGACAUGCAAGUCGAACGGACCAAAUGCUUUGUUUACAUUGCAAGAGGUUAGUGGCGGACUGGUGAGUAACACGUAAGCAACCUGCCUAGAAGAGGGGAAUAACAGCGAGAAAUCGCUGCUAAUACCGCAUACCUUGGCUCUAUUGCAUGAUAGAGUUAAGAAAGGAGCAAUCCGCUUUUAGAUGGGCUUGCGUCUGAUUAGCUAGUUGGUGGGGUAACGGCCUACCAAGGCGACGAUCAGUAGCCGGACUGAGAGGUUGAACGGCCACAUUGGGACUGAGAUACGGCCCAG